rnacentral:sRNA from 1 species
UUAGAUAUUGGUCCUCAAAUAAUCAUA